ACGUAGGCAACCUGCCUGUAAGAUCGGGAUAACCCCCGGAAACGGUAGCUAAGACCGGAUAGCUGGUCUCUCCGCAUGGAGGGAUCAUGAAACACGGGGCAACCUGUGGCUUACAGAUGGGCCUGCGGCGCAUUAGCUAGUUGGUGGGGUAACGGCCCACCAAGGCGACGAUGCGUAGCCGACCUGAGAGGGUGAUCGGCCACACUGGGACUGAGACACGGCCCAGACUCCUACGGGAGGCAGCAGUAGGGAAUCUUCCGCAAUGGGCGCAAGCCUGACGGAGCAACGCCGCGUGAGUGAUGAAGGUUUUCGGAUCGUAAAGCUCUGUUGCCAAGGAAGAACGCCUCGGAGAGUAACUGCUCUGAGGGUGACGGUACUUGAGAAGAAAGCCCCGGCUAACUACGUGCCAGCAGCCGCGGUAAUACGUAGGGGGCAAGCGUUGUCCGGAAUUAUUGGGCGUAAAGCGCGCGCAGGCGGUCUUUUAAGUUUGGUGUUUAAGCCCGGGGCUCAACCCCGGUUCGCACUGAAAACUGGGAGACUUGAGUGCAGGAGAGGAAAGCGGAAUUCCACGUGUA
rnacentral:rRNA from 1 species